UGGCUGUGGUUUAUCAGUCUCACUCUCUGUUCCUGGCCAGAGCUGUGAUGCAGCUUUCUGUCAUGCAGACCCUGUUGUCUGGAGGCAGAGAGAACUGCAGGUUGUAGGAAGAGCAAAGCCCAAAUCUUCCCAUGAGGCCAUUCAAAAGAACAGAGAUGCUACUAAAAAUCCUGAUUCAUUUGGAAUCACUUCUUCUGGAGAUUAGAGAAGACCAGACUGGGCAUCUAAAAUGGAGAACAAGUAUUGUACAAUAACCAGGAUAAAGAUUGAACUUCCAUGCAAUUACAUGUGGGAAAAAUUGUAGCACCAUAUCCAAGAAGAAUCAGGGCAUCUGGUCUGGAAUCAGCCACAGAUGGGUAUGUAUGAUCCUUGAGUGUGUUUUGUGCAAUGCCGGAGAAGGAAAGUGUCGUAUCCAGACUUGAAUUUCAGCCUUGUUG